GAGUUUGAUCAUGGCUCAGAUUGAACGCUGGCGGCAUGCCUUACACAUGCAAGUCGAACGGCAGCACGGGAGCUUGCUCCUGGUGGCGAGUGGCGAACGGGUGAGUAAUGCAUCGGAACGUAUCCUGGAGUGGGGGACUAACGUAGCGAAAGUUACGCUAAUACCGCAUAUUCUGUGAGCAGGAAAGCGGGGGACCUUCGGGCCUCGCGGCUCUUGGAGCGGCCGAUGUCGGAUUAGCUAGUUGGUGAGGUAAAGGCUCACCAAGGCGACGAUCCGUAGCAGGUCUGAGAGGAUGAUCUGCCACACUGGAACUGAGACACGGUCCAGACUCCUACGGGAGGCAGCAGUGGGGAAUUUUGGACAAUGGGGGCAACCCUGAUCCAGCCAUGCCGCGUGAGUGAAGAAGGCCUCGGUUGUAAG
rnacentral:rRNA from 1 species